rnacentral:misc_RNA from 1 species
GAACGCACCUUGCGCCCCUUGGCAUUCCGAGGGGCACACCCGUUUGAGUGUCGUGAAAUUCUCAAAAACCCUUUUUCUUUUGAAAAGGAUUUUUUGGACUUGGAGGUUCCAUGCUCGCCUUUGCCUUUGAAGGUGAGCUCCUCUCAAAUAAAUUAGUGGGGUCCGCUUUGCUGAUCCUUAAUGUGAUAAGAUGUUUCUACAUUUUGGAUUUAGCACUGUCCCUUGGAUGCCUGCUUCUAACUGUCCUUUGGACAAUGAUGGUUGCUCCGGUCAUCGCCAUCUACAUUGGCGGGAUGCUGGACCCACAAAAAACUUGACCUCAAAUCGGGUGAGACUACCCGCUGAACUUAAG